rnacentral:rRNA from 1 species
CCCACGGGUGGCAGCAGUGGGGAAUAUUGGACAAUGGGCGAAAGCCUGAUCCAGCCAUGCCGCGUGUGUGAAGAAGGCCUUCGGGUUGUAAAGCACUUUCAGUGGGGAAGAAAGCCUUGGGGCUAAUACCCUCGAGGAAGGACAUCACCCACAGAAGAAGCACCGGCUAACUCCGUGCCAGCAGCCGCGGUAAUACGGAGGGUGCGAGCGUUAAUCGGAAUUACUGGGCGUAAAGCGCGCGUAGGCGGUCUGAUAAGCCGGUUGUGAAAGCCCCGGGCUCAACCUGGGAACGGCAUCCGGAACUGUCAGGCUAGAGUGCAGGAGAGGAAGGUAGAAUUCCCGGUGUAGCGGUGAAAUGCGUAGAGAUCGGGAGGAAUACCAGUGGCGAAGGCGGUCUUCUGGACUGACACUGACGCUGAGGUGCGAAAGCGUGGGUAGCAAACAGGAUUAGAUACCCCUGUAGUC